AGUGAACGCUGGCGGUAGGCCUAACACAUGCAAGUCGAACGGCAGCACAGUAAGAGCUUGCUCUUACGGGUGGCGAGUGGCGGACGGGUGAGGAAUACAUCGGAAUCUACUUUUUCGUGGGGGAUAACGUAGGGAAACUUACGCUAAUACCGCAUACGACCUACGGGUGAAGGCAGGGGAUCUUCGGACCUUGCGCGAAUGAAUGAGCCGAUGUCGGAUUAGCUAGUUGGCGGGGUAAAGGCCCACCAAGGCGACGAUCCGUAGCUGGUCUGAGAGGAUGAUCAGCCACACUGGAACUGGGACACGGUCCAGACUCCUACGGGAGGAAGCAGUGGGGAAUAUUGGACAAUGGGCGCAAGCCUGAUCCAGCCAUACCGCGUGGGUGAAGAAGGCCUUCGGGUUGUAAAGCCCUUUUGUUGGGAAAGAAAAGCAGCAGGUUAAUACCCCGCUGUUCUGACGGUACCCAAAGAAUAAGCACCGGCUAACUUCGUG
rnacentral:rRNA from 1 species